rnacentral:lncRNA from 1 species
GCCAUGAGAGCCCAGUGACCGCUGCUGACACGGAAGCUCGCUGGCACUUUAUUAAUGAUGGAUCCUGGGAAGAAGCCGGGGAGCGAUGAGGGUGACCGUGUAAACGAGGAGGCAAAACACCCGAGCCACAGCGCAUCCCACGGCGUGGACCGUGGGCCUGUAUCUGAUGAGACAGCAGACUCCGCUGAGAAUCCCACAAACAAAAGGGGUUUUGCAGAGUCCUCGGACUUGGACCACACUGUCGAGGAGGACGAUGGAAAUAAACACGUUUCCAAGCGAAUAAAACUAGCGGAGGCUGAGCCCUUGUGGCCGGGAGAGCCGGGCACCCGUGGGUCGGGGAGCCCUGAAGGCGCAGUCCUGGGAGUGGGUGUUGAGUUGUCGGGGACCGGGGCGGGGCCCCUCCUGAGUGCCUGUGACGGCGGCCCGGGUCUUCCCGGCCACUCGAGCCCGGGGGAAACGGCCGCUGAGAAGGAGCCUGCUCAGGAGACCACGGCGUUCCUCAAUCUUGGAGGGGAGUCGCCCUCGCCCCCCAAAGAGAUGCGCGGGAGUAGUGCCCUCGGGGGCCCGGGCAUGGUGCUGCAGGGCGGCCCACGUGCCCACUCGCCCACGUCCUGCCUGCACACGGAGCAGCACGCUGCGCGCCCCUCGCCACGGCCCGAGGACCAGGCCUGCGGCCCCACGGCCGACAGCGGGCUGGCCUUCCCUGGGCACGCCGGGCAGGCGCGUGGCCCGCCAGGGGCCUUCUCCUGUCAGCUCUGUGGCUUUCAGUGCGCCGAGGAGAACCUGCUGAACGCACACUGUCUCGGCAAAACGCAUCUCCGGCGGCAGAACCUCGCUGCCCGCGGAGGGUUUGUACAGAUCUUAACCAAACAGCCUUUGCCCAAGAAGCCGAGUCCCGUGGGGGUGAAGGCUGGCCGCACAAAGCCGAGAGCAUCUAGGCCGGUCGCCAGGAACAGCGACUCAAAAGUGUUGCGGAGCGUUGGAGCGGGCACAUUCAGAGAUUUCAGAGGAAGCUUUUCUAAACAGAGCGGGCGCGGCAGCGAGCUCCUGGUUGAAAUGAGGCCGUCCAGGAACACCUCUCCAGAGAAAAUGGAGGUCGUUGAAGAAAACGUAACCUCCCACGAUGCAGCCGAGAAUCCUGAGAACCAGAGCAGAAAGCUGAGCGUGGUCGUCACCUCUGAGGGGCUCCUAGAUAGGCUGGAGUCCGGCAGAAACAUGGCCCAGGCAGCCCCCGGCCUCAGCACAGUCUCAAGACCCAGGGCUGAGCGCGGCUUCCUUGUGCUGGGCAGCGGCUUCCGACGGCGCGCUGGUGCUUUCACUUUGAAGGGGCAGGCGAAGAAGAGGUGUGCGCUCCUAGGAGUUAGUAAAAGGGGCACUAACGAAGUGCAGAGGCUGUAUUCGAAGCACUUGAGGGCACCGAUGAAAAUGAGCGACGUGGAGUCGGCGCCUCUGCACGGGAACCCGCGCCUGACGCCCCUGGAGACCCAGGCCCCGAAGCAGGACAGGGCAAACGCGCAUCUCCCCGGCUCCUCGGACUCUCCAGCGGCGAGGCCAGCUCCCGACCACCAGGUGGCGUGCGCUUGUUCGACCUGUGGUCACACAGCCACAAGCAGGGCGGAGCUGGAGAUCCACGUGACAAGGUGCCAUGCGGGUGAGUUGCGGUUUCACUGCCAGACGUGUGGCUUCUCCAGCGCAUCCAAGAGGGACGUGGAGGAGCACACACACAGCCACCAGCAUCAGCAGACCGCCUCCGGCCUGCGUUGUCAAUGUUGUUCGUUUACUUCCCCGAACGAGGUGGAACUGAGAGACCACAUGAAGGAGAAGCACAGUAUGGGUUUCCUCUGCCCGCCCUGCCGUCUGUUCUUCUCCUCCGAGAAAGACGUGGAGCAGCACAGGGCAACUGAGAAGCACAUUCACUUGUUGGGUCAAACAAAGAGUUCUCAGUCAUUUAAUGGUGAUUCGGCUUUACAGACGUUCCCCUUAAGUACUUUAGAAUCAGAAAACGCAAAAGUUGCUGUGAGUGAGGCCGGAAAAGCAGCUCAGGAAGAGCCAGCUAAGUCCAGGGUAAGCCACGGAAAUGAAGUGAGGCAUUCGAGUAAGCCUCAGUUUCAGUGCAAGAAGUGUUUUUACAAAACAAGAUCUUCCACUGUUCUCACGAGACACAUAAAGCUCCGCCACGGUCAAGACUAUCACUUUCUUUGUAAAGCGUGUAAUCUUUAUUCCCUGAGCAAAGAAGGAAUGGAGAAACACAUCAAGAGAAGCAAGCAUCUUGAAAAUGCUAAGAAAAAUAACAUUGGCCUAAGCUUUGAGGAAUGUAUUGAAAGGGUCUGCAUAGGUGCAAAUGACAAGAAAGAAGAGCUCACCAUCCCCGGGAAUGGGAGGACAGAAGGCCACGGAGAGGGUGUGCAGUUCCAGGAGCAGCCCUGUCUCGACCAGAGCAUCCUGCCUGCCCAGGAGCUGUCACUGUCCAGUGUCAUUACCAAAGAGGGUGAAUUAGCUCCACCCCCGGUUCCAAAGAGGGGGCGACCUAAAGGCAACAUCUCUCGGACCUGUUCACAUUGUGGUCUCCUGGCCUCCAGUAUCACGAACUUGACUGUGCACAUUCGACGAAAACACAGUCACCAGUACAGUUAUUUAUGCAAAGUCUGUAAGUAUUACACCGUAACCAAGGGAGACAUGGAACGUCAUUGUGCCACCAAGAAGCAUAAAGGACGUGUAGAAAUUGAAGCGAGUGGAAAACAAAGUUCAGAUAUCAUUGUUGGCCCUGAAGGUGGAAACCUUGACGGCAGUAGGAAGAACACCAGCGUGGCAGUUUCAGAUGAACCCGCCAACCCUCCAGUGGAAGCAGACACCUCCAUUUCAGAACAGCCACCACUCGAGCAAGGGAAUCCAGUGGAAGUGGAAGUUGAGAACGUGUUUCACCCUGAAGAUGGGGAGACUGGUAGUCACCUUACUGAGAAAAAGGAGCAAACCUCUAUGGAUCCAGAGGACCUUCAGGGUGACACGUGCCCCCAGAAAGACGACGCGAGCACAGAUGAUAACAGAUGUACGCACUGUGAGUUUAAGGCACACUCUUCCACCUCUCUGGAGCUGCACGUAAAACGGAAACAUACGAGAGAGUUUGCCUUUUAUUGCAUGGCGUGUGAUUACUAUGCUGUGACUCGACGGGAGAUGACCAGGCAUGCGGCAACAGAAAAACACAAGAUGAAAAGGCAGUCUUACCUGAACUCUACUAACGUAGAAGCCAGUUCUUCAGAAAUGUCCAAACCCAUCAUUAUUCCCCAAGGGCAGCAGCAACAGAAUUCUGAGGAAUUUCAGAUUAUUUCAGAGCAACCCUCUGCAACUCUCAAAUCUAGAAAUGCUGCCGAUCGCUCUGUUUUGGAUGAGAACACCAAUUUAGACAUGUCCAAGGUGUUCUGUGCUUCUGACUCUGUAGAGACCGAGACAGAGGAAGAGUCUAACCUCAGUGAAGAUCAUUCCUUUUGUGAAACUUUCCAGCAGCCCCUUGACAAGGACAAAGUUAUAAAACUGGAGGAGAUGGUACCCCUUAGUAUUCCUUCUAAUUGUGGCUCCCCAAGCAAAUUUCAGAAUGAAAGCUCAGGAAGCUCAGCUUUGAAUCAUGAGACAGCAAAGAAAAGGCACAGUAUGUUGAAUGACACCAGUAGUCCAAACACACAUGGCGAGAGUGAUGGAGGAAACGCAGAAGACAAAGCUGAUAAAGUUCUUGGUAAACGUGGGUGUCCCAGAGCUGUAGAUGGAGAGCAUCCAGCCAAGAGUGCCAUACUGAGAGCUCCCGGAGAACCGCUCAACCUGGGGAGCAGUGUUCAGGACAGAGCUGGAAGCAUGCAGAGUUCAGGGGACUUGAAAGACGUUCCAGAAGAUCCCCUUCUGGAGAGUAAGGAGAUGCUGAUGAAUUCCCGACAUGAAACCAAAGUGAUUUUGGAAGAGGAUGGUCCAGCUUCUGACAGCACCAUUGACAACAAUGAUGUUUAUGAAACUGUAAUCAGUAUUGAUGAUAAAGGGCAGGCUGUGUACAGUUUCGGCCGAUUUGAUUCUUCCAUAAUAAGGAUCAAGAACCCUGAAGAUGGGGAACUCUUCGACCAGUCUCAAGAGGGGCUUGUGGCAGCUGGAGUGAGGAUGAGUGAGCUGCCCUUGAAGGAUUGUGCUCAAGGUGUGAAAAAGAAGAAAGCGGACAGUAGUUCCUUUGCGGAGUCCACCCGGAUUCGCUGUGACGACUGCGGCUUCUUGGCGGACGGUCUGAGCGGCCUGAACGUGCACAUAGCCAUGAAGCACCCGACGAAGGAGAAGCACUUCCACUGCCUGCUGUGCGGCAAGUCCUUCUACACGGAGAGCAACCUCCACCAGCACCUGGCCAGCGCCGGGCACAUGCGGAACGAGCAGGCCAGCGUGGAGGAGCUGCCCGAGGGCGGCGCCACCUUCAAGUGCGUGAAGUGCACGGAGCCCUUUGACUCCGAGCAGAGUUUGUUCCUGCACAUCAAAGGGCAGCACGAGGAGCUGCUCCGCGAGGUGAACAAGUACAUCGUGGAGGACACCGAGCAGAUCAACCGCGAGAGGGAGGAGAACCAGGGCAACGUGUGCAAGUACUGCGGGAAGAUGUGUCGAAGCAGCAACUCCAUGGCGUUCCUGGCGCACAUUCGCACGCACACAGGAUCAAAACCAUUCAAGUGCAAGAUAUGCCAUUUUGCAACAGCUCAGCUUGGCGAUGCCAGAAACCAUGUCAAAAGGCACCUUGGGAUGAGGGAAUACAAGUGUCACGUCUGUGGGGUUGCAUUUGUUAUGAAGAAACACUUAAAUACUCAUCUGUUAGGCAAACAUGGAGUUGGCACACCAAAAGAAAGGAAGUUCACGUGCCACUUGUGCGACAGAAGUUUCACAGAGAAAUGGGCCCUCAACAACCACAUGAAACUGCACACGGGGGAGAAGCCGUUCAAGUGUACCUGGCCUACCUGCCACUACUCCUUCCUCACGGCGUCCGCCAUGAAAGACCACUACAGGACGCACACAGGCGAGAAGUCAUUCCUGUGUGACCUCUGUGGCUUUGCGGGCGGGACCCGGCACGCCCUCACCAAGCAUCGCCGGCAGCACACAGGAGAAAAACCUUUCAAAUGUGACGAGUGUAACUUUGCUUCCACGACCCAGUCUCACCUGACACGGCACAAGCGGGUACACACAGGAGAGAAACCCUACAGAUGCCCCUGGUGCGAUUACAGGUCAAACUGUGCUGAAAACAUCCGCAAACACAUUCUCCACACAGGCAAACACGAAGGUGUCAAGAUGUACAACUGCCCCAAGUGUGACUAUGGCACCAAUAUCCCCGUGGAGUUCCGGAACCACCUGAAAGAACAGCAUCCGGACAUCGAGAACCCCGACCUGGCCUACCUGCACGCAGGCAUUGUGUCCAAGUCCUAUGAAUGCCGCCUGAAGGGCCAGGGAGCCACCUUCGUGGAGACAGACAGCCCCUUCACAGCGGCGGCGCUGGCAGAGGAGUCUCCGGUAAAGGACAGGCCGCUUCGGAGCAGCAGGAGGCCAGUGGCUCCGCCGGAGCCAGUCCAGCAGGUCAUCAUCAUCCAGGGCUACGAGGGCGAGUUCGCCCUGGACACCUCCGUGGAGGAGACGGCUGCGGCCACGCUGCAGACGCUGGCCCUGGCCGGCCAGGUGGCCCGCGUGGUGCACAUCACCGAGGACGGCCAGGUCAUCGCCGCGGGGCAAAGCGGGGCGCAUGGGGGCAGCGGGGCUCCCAGCCUGGGCCUGCCGGAGCCGUUGGCCGACGGAGCCACGCAGGUGGUGGUCGUGGGCGGCUCAAUGGAAGGGCAUGGCGUGGACGAGCCCCUCAGCCCCAGUGGGGCCGUCAUUCAGCAGGUGACCAAGCAGGAGAUUCUAGACCUGGAUGAGGCCGGCGUCACCCCGCCCGACGCGGCCUCGGCCUUGGACGCCCUGCUGUGCGCGGUCACCGAGCUGGGAGGGGCGGAGGGCCCGGCGGCGGCAGAGGAGAAGGGCAGGGCCGGGGCCAGGGACGUGCUGGUGCAGCUGCCGGGGCAGGAGGCAGCCACUCCAGCUGCCCCGGAGAUCCAUGUGUUUCACGACGGGCCGGAAGGCGCGGCCGCUGCGGAGCCGGUGGAGGUGCUGACCCAGCUGGUGCGGCCGGCCGCCGUAAUCGCAUCGCAGGAGCGCACGCAGGUGGCCUUCAAGAAGGUGGUGCAGGGCAUGCUGCAGUUCGCCGUGUGCGACUCGGCCGCGGCCGGCCAGCUGAUGAAGGACGGCGUCACGCAGGUCAUCGUCAACGAAGAGGGCACGGUGCACAUGCUGGCCCGUGAGGGCUCCCAGAUCAUCAUGCAGGAGGCCGAGGCGCGCGGGCCGCACAUGGACCUGGCCGAGGCGGACGGCGAGAUCUCGCAGAUCAUCGUCACCGAGGAGCUGGUGCAGGCCAUGGUCCAGGAGUCCGGCGGUGGCUUUCCCGAGGGCGCCACACACUACAUCGUGACCGAGCUGCCGCCCGGCGUGCAGGACGAGCCAGCCGUGUUCUCGCACACCGUCAUUGAGGCAGCCGGCUCCCAGGAGCUCCUGCAGGCGGGGGCCGUGGUCCCCAGUGGAGCCGAACAGCUGACGAGCAUGGUCAUCUACACCCAGGAGGGCUCCCCAGCCGCCGCUGUCAUCCAGAGCCAAAGAGACAGCAGCGAAGUCCACGAAGCCUGA